GUGAGGAAUUUUCCGCAAUGGGCGAAAGCCUGACGGAGCAAUGCCGCGUGAAGGAUGAAGGCCUAUGGGUUGUAAACUUCUUUUAUUAGAGAAGAAUAUUGACGGUAUCUGAGGAAUAAGCAUCGGCUAACUCUGUGCCAGCAGCCGCGGUAAGACAGAGGAUGCAAGCGUUAUCCGGAAUGAUUGGGCGUAAAGCGUCUGUAGGUGGCUUCAAAAGUCUCCUGUCAAAGAUCAGGGCUUAACCCUGGGCCGGCAGGAGAAACUCUGAGGCUAGAGUUUGGUAGGGGCAGAGGGAAUUCCCGGUGGAGCGGUGAAAUGCGUAGAGAUCGGGAGGAACACCAAAGGCGAAAGCACUCUGCUGGGCCACAACUGACACUGAGAGACGAAAGCGAGGGGAGCAAAAGGGAUUAGAAACCCCAGUAGUCC
rnacentral:rRNA from 1 species